rnacentral:misc_RNA from 1 species
GAUGAAGAACGUAGCGAAAUGCGAUAAGUAAUGUGAAUUGCAGAAUUCAGUGAAUCAUCGAAUCUUUGAACGCACAUUGCGCCCCCUGGUAUUCCGGGGGGCAUGCCUGUUCGAGCGUCAUUUCACCACUCAAGCCUCGCUUGGUAUUGGGCAACGCGGUCCGCCGCGUGCCUCAAAUCGACCGGCUGGGUCUUCUGUCCCCUAAGCGUUGUGGAAACUAUUCGCUAAAGGGUGUUCGGGAGGCUACGCCGUAAAACAACCCCAUUUCUAAGGUUGACCUCGCAUCAGGUAGGGAUACCCGCUGAACUUAAGCAUAUCAAUAAGCGGAGGA